rnacentral:rRNA from 1 species
CAAGGCGUCGACGGGUAGCCGGCCUGAGAGGGUGACCGGCCACACUGGGACUGAGACACGGCCCAGACUCCUACGGGAGGCAGCAGUGGGGAAUAUUGCACAAUGGGCGGAAGCCUGAUGCAGCAACGCCGCGUGAGGGAUGACGGCCUUCGGGUUGUAAACCUCUUUUAGCAGGGAAGAAGCGAGAGUGACGGUACCUGCAGAAAAAGCGCCGGCUAACUACGUGCCAGCAGCCGCGGUAAUACGUAGGGCGCAAGCGUUAUCCGGAAUUAUUGGGCGUAAAGAGCUCGUAGGCGGUUUGUCGCGUCUGCUGUGAAAUCCCGAGGCUCAACCUCGGGCCUGCAGUGGGUACGGGCAGACUAGAGUGCGGUAGGGGAGAUUGGAAUUCCUGGUGUAGCGGUGGAAUGCGCAGAUAUCAGGAGGAACACCGAUGGCGAAGGCAGAUCUCUGGGCCGUAACUGACGCUGAGGAGCGAAAGGGUGGGGAGCAAACAGGCUUAGAUACCCUGGUAGUCCACCCCGUAAACGUUGGGAACUAGUUGUGGGGACCAUUCCACGGUUUCCGUGACGCAGCUAACGCAUUAAGUUCCCCGCCUGGGGAGUACGG